rnacentral:rRNA from 1 species
AGAGUUUGAUCCUGGCUCAGGAUGAACGCUAGCUACAGGCUUAACACAUGCAAGUCGAGGGGCAGCAUGGAAGAAGCUUGCUUCUUCUGAUGGCGACCGGCGCACGGGUGCGUAACGCGUAUCAAACCUGCCUCAUACUCGGGGAUAGCCUUGCGAAAGUAAGAUUAAUACCCGAUGUUGUUAUAUUUCCGCAUGGUGAUAUAACCAAAGAUUUAUCGGUAUGAGAUGGUGAUGCGUCCGAUUAGGUAGUAGGCGGGGUAACGGCCCACCUAGCCAUCGAUCGGUAGGGGUUCUGAGAGGAAGGUCCCCCACACUGGAACUGAGACACGGUCCAGACUCCUACGGGAGGCAGCAGUGAGGAAUAUUGGUCAAUGGACGCAAGUCUGAACCAGCCAAGUAGCGUGCAGGAUGACGGCCCUCUGGGUUGUAAACUGCUUUUAGUUGGGAAUAAAAAGAGGGACGUGUCCCUCAUUGUAUGUACCUUCAGAAAAAGGACCGGCUAAUUCCGUGCCAGCAGCCGCGGUAAUACGGAAGGUCCAGGCGUUAUCCGGAUUUAUUGGGUUUAAAGGGAGCGUAGGCGGAUUAUUAAGUCAGUGGUGAAAGACGGUGGCUCAACCAUCGUUAGCCAUUGAAACUGGUAGUCUUGAGUGCAGACAGGGAUGCUGGAACUCGUGGUGUAGCGGUGAAAUGCUUAGAUAUCACGAUGAACUCCGAUCGCGAAGGCAGGUGUCCGGGCUGCAACUGACGCUGAGGCUCGAAAGUGUGGGUAUCAAACAGGAUUAGAUACCCUGGUAGUCCACACAGUAAACGAUGUAUACUCGCGGUUUGCGAUACAAUGUAAGCCGCCAAGCGAAAGCAUUAAGUAUACCACCUGGGGAGUACGCCGGCAACGGUGAAACUCAAAGGAAUUGACGGGGGCCCG